AAUAGUGCUACACCCAAUAAGAAAGUGCUAUGGCAACAUCUUGUGACAUGAAAAAAUUUGUUGCUAUAGUGGUUAUAACUAUGCUAGCACUGGUACAAGGCGAAAAUAUUGCUACAACAAAAAAUUUUGAGCCAGACUUUAAAUUUAAAAAACUUCUUUGUCAUGGCAAAUGUAUCUUGCAAUGCGCUUUAAGCAAACCAAAUCCGAUUGUGUUGGCACUGUGCCUAGGUCUAUGUAUAAGCGAUUGUAUACAUCAUCAUUUGACAUCUUUUAAUGAUUCUCACUGCAUUGUAGCUUGUACUUUGUCCAAAUCCAUUGAAGACAGAUUAGGUAUAUAUUCAUACUUUUACUUUUUAUUUUCUUUUCAUUCUUAUUAUUGUUAUAUAAUUACGGAUUUUGUUUAGAAUAAAUUAAAAAUUAUUUCUAAUACAUCAUUUUGGACUUUAGGGCAAGUUUGCCAUACUUUCGAUGAAUUCUAUUAUUUUAAUAGAGUUUGUCUGAUUUUUCACCGAAGUUUAUUACGUAUUUUCAUAAAUAUCAAAUUGAGUGAGAAAAAAAAAGGUUAAAAAAUUAACAAUGGCAAUCAUGAUCGUCUUUAGAGUACAUAAAAGUACACAAGAGUAUGCAGGAAUAAGUCGUAUUUUUUAUUUAUAAUAGAAAAAAUUCUGGUUAAAUAUGGCUUAUUUCUGUAUACCUAUAUAUUUUCUGGAGACGAUGAUAAUAAUUGUCAUUGGCGCCAGUGAUAUUGAAAAAGUCGUACUUGUUAUUUGUGUAUUUUUGUAUACUCCUAUAUACUAUUGGAGACGAUGAUAAUGACUUAGAAAUUUGAAUUUCAUUCUCAACCAAAUUUCUAAGGAGAAUUUGAGUGAAAUUUCGGGGCGAACUCAUCCUAAAAAUGCAUUCCGGAAAUUAAUGUUGAAAUAACGUAUUUUUGAAAAUAAUUUUUUUUAUUUUAAAAAAAUUUCAUAAUUAUUAUAUUGUUUAAAUAUAUGAUCUCAUGCAUAUUUCUCAAAUUUAAGAAGAAAGUUAAGAUUAGCUUUUUCUUUUAUAUAGUUAAUUAAUUAUUUAUUUAAAAAAUUUUAUUUUUUGUACCAGAUGAUCGUGCCGUGAAUGAAUACGCCAGAUCCUGUUUGCGGAUGUGUAAUGUCAAAUAAAUUAAGAAAUUAGAUCCUCUCAAUCUUUUUUCAUUUGAAAGAAUGAAAUGUGAUCUCUCAUUAUACAUUUUAUUGGUAGGACUAAAAAAAUAUGAAAAAAAUAUUAAAAAAUUAGAGAUUAUAUUUCACCAUUUGAAAAAAAAUUUGAGAAAAUCCA
rnacentral:lncRNA from 1 species